rnacentral:rRNA from 1 species
GCCUACGGCCAUGCCACCCUGAACAAGCCCGAUCCUGUCUGAUCUCGGAAGCUAAGCUGGGUCGGGCCUGGUUAGAACUUGGAUGGGAGGCCGCCUAGGAAGAUCAGGUGCUGUAGGUG